CCCUUAGAUGCUCUGGGCCGCACGCGCGCUACACUGACGAAGUCAGCGAGCAUGUCCUACGCCGACAGGUGCGGGGAAUCUUGUCAAACUUCGUCGUGAUGGGGAUUGAUUUUUGAAAUUCUUGAUCAUAAACGAGGAAUUCCUAGUAAGCGCAAGUCAGCAGCUUGCGCUGAUUACGUCCCUGCCCUUUGUACACACCGCCCGUCGCUACUACCGAUUGAAUGGUUUAGUGAGAUCUUCGGAUUGGCGCCACUGCAGCUCAGCAAUGGGCUUGGUGGAUGCCGAAAAGUUGAUCAAACUUGAUCAUUUAGAGGAAGUAAAAGUCGUAACA
rnacentral:rRNA from 1 species